rnacentral:rRNA from 1 species
UACGAAGGGGGCUAGCGUUGCUCGGAAUCACUGGGCGUAAAGGGUGCGUAGGCGGGUCUUUAAGUCAGGGGUGAAAUCCUGGAGCUCAACUCCAGAACUGCCUUUGAUACUGAGGAUCUUGAGUUCGGGAGAGGUGAGUGGAACUGCGAGUGUAGAGGUGAAAUUCGUAGAUAUUCGCAAGAACACCAGUGGCGAAGGCGGCUCACUGGCUCGGUACUGACGCUGAGGUGCGAAAGCGUGGGGAGCAAACAGG